CCUGCAGGAGGCAGCAGCAUGGCUGGUGUCACCAGAAGAUGAGACCUGCUGUCACAGGAGAGGCUCUGUCUCAGGGAGGUCUCUGAGGAGUAGAGAUAGG